UUGCAUUUGAAGCCCAUGAGGAUGAGAACCUCCGGGGGCGGGGAGGUUCGACUCGAGCGAAGCGAGAGAACGUUGCGCCAGCAACGGCCCGCAGGGCGAGCCA
rnacentral:sRNA from 2 species